ensembl:snRNA U6 U6 spliceosomal RNA
AUGCCCACUUAGGCAACAUACACACUAUAAUUAGAAUGAUACAGGCAUUAGUAUGGUCCCUAUGUAAAGGAUGGCAUGCAAAUUCAUGGCACAUUUCAUAUGUUU